UGCGAGACCCAGGGUCAGAAAAGGGAUGGCACUCAUGGUUUCACAGUUUGAAAUUUAAAAUGGGAAACUACAGGCAAAAAUUAAGUUCAGCACGAUACCCUGAAGUGGUCUCAAACAAAAGAAAAUCUGGAAUUUCAAAAGGGGAAACUGUCAAAAAGUCAAAGAAGGGAGAGGUGAACUUCUGUCCUGAUCCAUCUGAAGGACACAGUCCUGAAAACAUGGAGGUGAAGCGCAAGAUAAUGGAGGCUGAAAUGCAGAAGAAAGACCCAAAUCAUCAGCUGCUUGAGGAUUUGAUGGUUGCUACAUUUUCUCAGCGUAGGAAAGACAUUGUAGGAGAUCAACCACACAUCACAGAGAUCAUCUCCUGAUGGCCUGCUCUGUUCCAUGAGAGACAGAUUAGGGCAGAAUUUACAAGAAUCGUCACCACAGACCUUCUGAAAUCUUUUCUUGACUGACUUGAUGGCCUGGUUUUGAGACUGCUGGAGGUCUACAAAGCAGCAACCAAAUCUGGAAAGAAGCAGCCACUCAAAGACAUUUUGGACUGCCUUGCAAAAGAUGACACAAAUGAAAGGAGAAGGGCUGCUGCUCUGCUUGGUUUGCCUCGCUACAUAUCUGGCGAAGAUCCAUCAACUGUCAUCAGGAUGUGUGAUGUAAGACUAACAAAAUUUCUUACAAAAACUGUUUACAUGUUUACCUAUUUCUCUUUCUUGCUAUCAUUUCUUUAAAAUCUUUUUGUAGCAUUUGUGUUUGCAAAAACAUAUUUUUAGUCCUUAUUAAGAGACAUCACUUCCUGUGUACUACAGCCAUGCAUAACAUCAAAUUCCGAUGUAAUUACUUUGUGUAUCCUUAUUAAUUUUGCUAAAAGCCAGUUGAUGGAAACAUGCCUGAUUUGCAUUUUCUUUCAUUUCUUUUGACAUUUUAAGAAUUUGAUGAUUAAAAAAAUGCAUUAAAAUGGAAACACUGCUGGUGUCCUACAUUUUUAGAAUAAUUUUAACUCUUCACAAUGGUGGUUUUUAAUCUGGUGAAGUUCUUAAUUGGAGCCUUUUAAGUACAUUUAUUUAUUGAGAUUUCAAUAAAAUUCUGUUUUAUUUGUCAAAUUGAUUUCUGUUUUUGUCAAUUUUGGUCCUCCAAUAAAUGUCAACACCUCUGCUUGUCUUGGACAAAUGUUUUCUUUUACACUUGAUUUAAGGCUUGUCUCAUAUUUGAUAGAGCAA